CUACGUGCCAGCAGCCGCGGUAAUACGUAUGUCACGAGCGUUAUCCGGAUUUAUUGGGCGUAAAGCGCGUCUAGGUGGUUAUGUAAGUCUGAUGUGAAAAUGCAGGGCUCAACUCUGUAUUGCGUUGGAAACUGUGUAACUAGAGUACUGGAGAGGUAAGCGGAACUACAAGUGUAGAGGUGAAAUUCGUAGAUAUUUGUAGGAAUGCCGAUGGGGAAGCCAGCUUACUGGACAGAUACUGACGCUAAAGCGCGAAAGCGUGGGUAGCAAACAGGAUUAGAUACCCUGGUAGUCCACGCUGUAAACGAUGAUUACUAGGUGUUGGGGGUCGAACCUCAGCGCCCAAGCAAACGCGAUAAGUAAUCCGCCUGGGGAGUACGUACGCAAGUAUGAAACUCAAAGGAAUUGACGGGGACCCGCACAAGCGGUGGAGCAUGUGGUUUAAUUCGACGCAACGCGAGGAACCUUACCAGCGUUUGACAUC
rnacentral:rRNA from 1 species